AUUAACUGCCAGAUGAAACAAUCUGCAGAGAAAACCUCUGAGCACAUUCCAGGCAGCAUAAAAGGAUUAAACUUUAUAUCAAAGACUAACUUUACAAGCAAGGAAACAAGCAGAAGAGAGCUUUUCUGUCCCUGAAGUUUCUUUAACUGGGGAACCUAGUCUUUCUUUUUACAACUAUAUGUAAGCCAGCUUAAAGUGUAACUGCUAAGACAGUGAGAGGGACCAAAUCUCAGUGAUACCAAAAAAUUUCCAAAUAUGUGACUAAUAUCAGGUUCUCUCUCAUUUGAUACAGGUUAGAAAGAAAAAGCACAAUGAAGGGAAGAGACAGAGAAAGAGAAGAGUGAAAGUUUAACCCAAGUCCAGCUGCUUUCCUUCAAGCAAAAAAGUCAGACCAAUGUGUGAAGGAUAAACUGAAGGCCCUUAAAUCAAGAGUUGCAAGGUUUUUGCUGUUAUUCAGAAAUGGGGAGUAUCUGUGUUGAAGUAUGACCUGAAGAGGAAGAUGGGAUACAAAUGGCAUUCCAGAGAUGGAAGAUGCUGAACUUGGUGACCAAUUAGAUGUGGCUAGAUUACUGGCUUCAGUGGCUGGGUUGCUAAAGGACCGUUUUUCCUUUAUAGGAAAUGCAGGAGGAAAAGGAAGUCUGGUUGGAAUGGGGGACAGGGGGCAGAAAGAAUAAGUUGAUUUUCAAUAUGCCAAGCUUGAUGCAGGGAUAUAAUGGCUAGGAUCUAGAGACAUCAUUCAUUCAAUAAUAAUUUAUUACAUUUCUACUAUGUGCUGGUCACUGUCCACCAGGACAUUUAAUGGGCCCAGCAAAAUGUUCUAGAGUGGCAAUAUGGAUGAAGGAAUCACUAUGUAAAUGAAAAUUGAUGCCAUGGUUAGGGACAGUAAGGGUAAGUGCAUAUGUUGAGAAGGAAAGCCUGAGGACACAGCUGGAGAGCACCACUACUGGAGGACAAGGCUAAAGAAAAAGCCCAGGAAGUAUACUGAGAAGCAGAGGCUUGAACUACACUGAACCCAAAUGAAGAGCUGCUGAGUUACAGAAAACAAAGAAAAACCACUAUAAGAAAGAGAAAGUGGCCAGGCGCGGUGGCUCACGCCUGUAAUCUCAGCACUUUGGGAGGACGAGGCAGGCCGAUCACGAGGUCAGGAGAUCAACCAUCCUGGCUAACAUGGUGAAACUCCGUCUCUACUAAAAAAUACAAAAAAUUAGCCGCGCGUGGUGGCAGACACCUGUAGUCCCAGCUACUCGGGAGGCUGAGGCAGGAGAAUGGUGUGAACCUGGGAGGCGGAGCUUGCAGUGAGCCGAGAUUGCCCUACUGCACUCCAGCCUGGGUGACAGAGCGAGACUCCAAAAAAAAAAAAAAAAAAAAAAAAAGAAAGAAAGAGAAAGCAACUUCUAUAAAAUAUAGAUGUCCCAUUUAUAUAAGUUAACAUCAAUUUGCCAAUAUAGAAGUAACUGACAAGAGUCGAUCCAGUGAUAUAGAGAAGAUGGUAGCCACGUUGAAGGGUUGAAGGGUGGACUGGUGUGGGGAGGAGCGGGUGAAGAGAGACAACCUCCUUGGGUUACUUAGCUGAGUCCAUAAGAAAUGUUGUUGAGAAAGAUUAACAAUUUUUAAACACAUGUUACUCCCCAUUUUUACCUUAUUUUCAUACCCCUGCAUUCUUAUCUACUUUCCUAUAUGUCAUAUUUGCUAACUUGACUUAUGGUCACCUACAAACACUAAUAUUAGGUACCAGAAGCUCUCUGGAGAGUAGGUCUGAAGGAAGCAGAGCGGGGAGAGAGUGUGCAGUCCUGGGAAACCCAGGAAAAUGGAGAUCCAUGGUAAUGUCCACAGCUGCUACUUUGGAGAGUCUACAAUAGGUCUGAUCAUGAACAUCCACUUCACAUGCAUUUUAAAUUGUUUUAUUUUUUUCUUUUAAGAAAACAACUUACAAGGUAAAUACAAUCAUUUUCAUUUGACAGGAGAGGGGAGUGAGGAUCAGGGAGGCCAAAUCACUAGCCUCAGCUCACACCCACAGUAAGUGACAGAGUUGGGGCUAGAACCCCAGACCUUUUAAAAUAUCACAGGAAGGAAGAAACAGCUGAGUAAUUUGGAGACGUAAAGAGAGCAGAAAAUCAAUUUGGUCUAACAAGUGUGUUUUUGUUAUAGCUAGUGUGGAAAACCAGACAGUGGGUAGAUGUUAGUGGCCCAGGUGGCUCAACUGCUAAAGCCCAGCUUUGAUUCAUUAGGUUAAACAAGUCACACCUUCCGGGCAACUAACUACAUUUAGUACAAUUUUGAAAGAAAUCAAUUUAAAAAGAUACAACUUUUCAAAGGGCCAGGGGUUGAUUAGCAGCCACUGGAAGGACGUGUCAAAAUCUAGAAACUUGGGCCAGGCGUGGUGGCUCACGCCUGUAAUCCCAGCAUUUUGGGAGGCCGAGGCAGGUGGAUUGCCUGAGGUCGGGAUUUUGACACCAGCCUGACCAACAUGGAGAAACCUUG
rnacentral:lncRNA from 1 species